GCAUAUCAAUAAGCGGGAGGGAAAAGAAACCCAACAGGGGAUUGCCUCAGUAACGGGCGAGUGAAGCGGCAACAGCUCAAAUUUGAAAUCUGGUCCCCUCUGGGGGCCCGAGUUGUAAUUUGAAGAGGAUGCUUUUGGCGAGGCGCCGUCCGAGUUCCCUGGAACGGGACGCCGCAGAGGGUGAGAGCCCCGUACGGUCGGACGCCGAGCCUCUGUAAAGCUCCUUCGACGAGUCGAGUAGUUUGGGAAUGCUGCUCAAAAUGGGAGGUAAACCCCUUCUAAAGCUAAAUACCGGCCAGAGACCGAUAGCGCACAAGUAGAGUGAUCGAAAGAUGAAAAGCACUUUGAAAAGAGAGUUAAAAAGCACGUGAAAUUGUUAAAAGGGAAGCGCUUGCGACCAGACUUGCGCCCGUCGGAUCAACCGUCGCUUGCGGCGGCGCACUCCGGCGGGCUCAGGCCAGCAUCAGUUCGCUCGGGGGGAGAAAGGCGGCGGGAAUGUAGCUCCUCGGAGUGUUAUAGCCCGCCGUGUAAUACCCUCGGGUGGACUGAGGACCGCGCGUAUGCAAGGAUGCUGGCGUAAUGGUCGUCAGCGACCCGUCUUGAAACACGGACCAAGGAGUCGUCCUAAUAUGCGAGUGUACGGGUGUCAAACCCCUGCGCGUAAUGAAAGUGAACGGAGGUGAGAGCUUCGGCGCAUCAUCGACCGAUCCUGAUGUUAUCGGAUGGAUUUGAGUAAGAGCAUAUUGGGCCGGACCCGAAAGAAGGUGAACUAUGCCUGUGUAGGGUAAAGCCAGAGGAAACUCUGGUGGAGGCUCGCAGCGGUUCUGACGUGCAAAUCGAUCGUCAAACAUGGGCAUGGGGGGCGAAAGACUAAUCGAACCUUCUAGUAGCUGGUUUCUGCCGA
rnacentral:rRNA from 1 species